ensembl:lncRNA
AUUGUAUAUAUAUUUUACUAAGCUGUUUUUUAUGAUACUGAACACAUUACAGCGUCUGAAGAGCUGAUAAAUGUGUAUUUCUACAGCUAAAACUUCACAUUAUAAGAAGUCUGUUUCCUCAGAACAGUUUUGCCUCAUGGAAUAAUUAAAAUAUCUUGUUUUGAUGAGUGGUAUAUUAUUAUUAUUAUUACUAACGAAAACCUUUACUGCUUAAGUGCUCUUUACUGCUCAGGUGCUAUUUUAGAAUUCAUGUCUUGUGAUUGUUGAGUGUGUGGCAGAAAUGUACGACGGGGCGCUACAUAGCCUAACAUAGGAAGAAGAGGAUUUGAGAGUUGUGCACCAGAAAUGUAAACGGAUUCAGUUGACGCACUGUGGUCACUUAAUGUUUUCUCUGGGCUUGAAGCUCUUUCACAUGCAUGGAAUGUCCAAAGUCCUGCUGUCAAGCAUGCCAAGAACAGAUUUGGGGGAAUUUAUCAUCACACCACUUGCUCACCAAUGGAUCCUCUACAGUGAAUGGGUGCCGUCAGAAUGAGAGUCCAAACAGCUGAUAAAAACAUCACAAUAAUCCACAAGUAAUCCACAAUCCAUCAAUUAACAUAUUGAGAAGUAAAAAGCUGCAUGAGUGUGUGCAAAUGUGCUUGAGACCGAGACAAGACCAAGACCAUAAAAAAAAUGGUCUUAAGACCGGUCUCAAGACCAAGAAUAGUCUCGAUUACUACAACAUUAAUAUAUAUCACAUAUAGUGUUUAAAAUCUUCAGGCAUUUUUAUUUUUAUUUCAAUUUUAGUUUUAGUAUUUUUUAGUACUUUAACAUUUUAUUUCAGUUAGCCUAGUACCAUAAGAACAUUUACCUUUGUAUGUUUGUUUUAUCUACUAUUUAUAUUUUUUUUGAUUACAGCUUUAUUUCAGUUACCGAAGAUGGAUAGUUUUAGUAACAAUAACAAAAAAUUAAUGAGAGCGAGUAAAUAAUAACAGAACGUUCAAUAUUCUUUAGCUUUUAAAACACUAUUUAAAGGGGUCAUGUUGCCAAAAAGAACAUUAUUUUAUGUAUUUGGUGUAAUGCAAUGUAUUUAUGUGGUUUAAUGUUCAAAAAUCACAUUAUUUUCCACACACUGUACAUUAUUUUUGCUCCUCUAUGCCCCGCCUUCUGAAACGUGUCGAUUUUUACAAAGCUCAUCGUUCUGAAAAGCGAGUUGUACGCUGAUUGGCCAGCUAUUCAGUGCGUUGUGACUGGCCAAAUACCUCAAUCGUGUGACAGAAACGUUACGCCCCUUAACAUAUUGUGAUGCCGAGUCCCCCCAUGCGACAAGACAAAACUGAUAAAACCCAUUACAAAUGAGCCAUUUGUUGCAUCCAGUGGGGACAUAAUUAAUGUUACUGAUUAUAAUGACUUAUACCGUCUUUUUACGCUUUGUGUAUCGCGCAGCAUAAACAUAAAACCAUGUCUGCAUUUGUGAUUGAAGAAACAACAAGCGCUACUCUACACUGCUCAAAACUCGUGUUGAAUUAUCAGUGGCAAAUUCUUUAAAUAUGAAAACAUACUUACAGACUGUGAGUCAGAAUCUGUCCUCGUAAAGUUGGAACUGCCCCACUUUAUAGAAACACAGACGGCAUAGGCUAGUCUCCCAGGAAACGGUCCUCAAUAAAAUUCGCUGCACACACUCA